GACGAACGCUGGCGGCGUGCCUAAUACAUGCAAGUUGAGCGCUGAAGGUUGGUACUUGUACCAACUGGAUGAGCAGCGAACGGGUGAGUAACGCGUGGGGAAUCUGCCUUUGAGCGGGGGACAACAUUUGGAAACGAAUGCUAAUACCGCAUAAAAACUUUAAACACAAGUUUUAAGUUUGAAAGAUGCAAUUGCAUCACUCAAAGAUGAUCCCGCGUUGUAUUAGCUAGUUGGUGAGGUAAAGGCUCACCAAGGCGAUGAUACAUAGCCGACCUGAGAGGGUGAUCGGCCACAUUGGGACUGAGACACGGCCCAAACUCCUACGGGAGGCAGCAGUAGGGAAUCUUCGGCAAUGGACGAAAGUCUGACCGGGCAACGCCGCGUGAGUGAAGAAGGUUUUCGGGUCGUAAAACUCUGUUGGUAGAGAAGAAAGUUGGUGAGAGUGGAAAGCUCAUCAAGUGACGGUAACUACCCAGAAAGGGACGGCUAACUACGUG
rnacentral:rRNA from 1 species